CAAGCCGAAGGGGAGGAAGCAGCGAGCGAGGUUUGUGGGAAUGGGCGGCAAAAUUUAACAAAAUAUGGCUGUUAUGAAUUUAGCUUUUUUAAAGGUAUGUCAUGUGGCUGAGAUUCAAUUAGUGAUCCAUUUAUAUUCCAGGAUCUUUUCACACAUAAUAUUACGGAGCUAGAUAGCUGCCAUUCAAUAUCUGGGUGUUUGAUUCCACCCCCACCCCCCCAAUGUACAAGUUUUUAUUUUCAUGAAAUAUCAAUUUCCCUCAUCUCCUAAAAUCAUUCUGCAUGUUGUUUUGUUGUCUGUGUUGUUACUGUUUUCCCAAAUUCCAUCUAUACUGGCAAACUUGAUAAGCAUUCCUUCCAUCUACUACUUAGAUCAUUAAUAAAAAUACAAAGAAUACUAUUUCCAGAACAGAAUCAUGUGGCAUCUUCCUUCUAUCCAAAUGAAGGACAAGAGCUGAGCUAAGGGACAUACACCAUCAGAAAGUGGCUAAUAGAUAACAUUAGGUCACCUGAUUGCAGCUCUAGCAUAAUAGUUGGUGAAGUGUGACAGAUUCUUCCAUGGAAAAAUCCAUAGAAAAAUAGUUGGUGAAGUGUGAUAAAGGGGAAAGCUCACAAGACAAUGACUUGAAGACAAGGUCGGAUGUACUUGUAUAAUAAAAGGGCAUUUUGCUGAAUUCCAAGGAUGAUAUCCACACUUAAAAAACGACUGCAAAAAAAAAAAAAAAAGCUUUGUUCCACUUAGAAUCUCCACAAAUUGAUUUCUUACACCACAAUCAUUUUGGAAAAUAUAAUUAUGGAUCACAGGACUUCCUCAUUAAAGCCAAGGGUAGUGAAGAUGCACUAGUGAGAGAAUACGGAAAAAUUAUGAACAACUCACUCCUACCAGUACACAUCAACAUCAACCAGAAGACUCAAAUCCAGGAAGCCCCCGCUGGCACUUGCACACCAUCUAUUCAACAACUUUAACAUUGAUUCCCAAUGGAAAGCCUAAUUGGUCACUUUGAGCCCACAAAAAAGAGAUCAGGCUAUGAAUUACGUCACAAUGGACAAUCCUGAAUAAGAUUUGUACGUCACAUGGCAUCUGCAGGAACUGUAUAAAUGGGGCAUAGUAUCCUAUGAGUGCAGGGUCCACAUCAAACUAGAUCACAUUGUGACUGGCUAUAAGCUGAGGUCAGUAUGUGAUUAUUUCAUAUAAACAAUGCUGCACUUCAAUGGUUAGAUGGCCUAGACCAGGCUUGUCAAACUGGUGGCCCCCGGCCUGUGCAGGCCACACCCACCCCGGCCUCUGCAAAGGCAAAAAACAUCCCAAUAUGUCACGAUACAGCCCAAUAUACGGUCUGCGAUGCGAUCAGAUUUGACACCUGACCUAGGCAUUGGUAUUUGAACAUAGAUCUUUUUAACAUUUAUAUUUUAUUGUGUUUGAUAGGUGAAAUUUUAAUAUAUAAUGCUAGUCCAAUUAUUAUAUACCAUACACUAAAUAGUGAAAACUGUGAUUACCCGCUUUGUCCUCUUUCCUUUCUGGUCUUCUCUCCCAAUGUAUGUAAGGAAUAAAGAAUGGAGUUCCAAAUAAACUGUCAUAAAACAUACAGGAAAUUUCUAAGCAUGCACAAUAUAGUUCUGUCCCAACUUGAGGAGUGAUGCAGUCUAAGAUGUGGGAGAAGAACAUGACUACCACCAAGUUGUUGAACACCUCACUCUUUCCCUCAUAUCAUGUGCAUUGACUGCCAGGAUGGUGAAUUGUAGUAAAAUAUUCAUUUCUGUUGUGAAAAAUAUAAGCAAAAGAGUUUUUGCACCUUGCCAAUCAGUGAAUCAUUCCAGACAUUCUGACCACACUUGUAAGUGGAUCAUAAGCUUCCUAACAGACAGGAAGCAGCAGGUGAAGCUAAGCAGAAUCACAUCAGAUACCUGUACAAUUAGCACAGGGGGCCCACAAGGCUGUGUGCUCUUUCCACUUCUCUCUCUAUACCAAUGACUGCAUCUCAAACGAUCCAUCUGUUAAACUACUGAAGUUCGUAGAUGACACAACAGUGAUCGGUCUCAUUUGAGACAAUGAUGAAUCCGCAUACAGACAGGAGGUUGAACACCUAGCCUCAUGGUGCAACCAGAACAAUCUGGAACUGAACACACUCAAAACCGUAGAAAUGGUGGUGGACUUUAAGAGAAACCCUCCCAUACUACCACUUCUUACAAGAGUAGACAACACAGUAUCAACAGAAGAGAUAUUUAAAUUUCUAGGUUCUACCUAAAAUGGACACCUAACAUCAAAAACGUCAUCAAAAAAGCACAACAAAGAAUGUUCUUUCUGCACCAACUCAGAAAGCUCAAACUGCCCAAGGAGCUGCUGAUACAGUUCUACAGAGGAAUUGUUGAGUCUUUCAUCUGCACCUCUAUAACUGUCUGGUUUGGUUCUGCAACCCAACAAGACAGACUCAGACUUCAGAGAAUAAUUAGAACUGCAGAAAUAACCAUUACUACCAACCUGCCUUCCAUUGAGGACCUAUAUCCAUGACCUCAAUGCCUUCCGUCGUUCCCUUAAAACCCAUCUUUUCCAGCAAGCCGGGUUGGCUUAAGAAUAAAUUUUUAAAUUCUUUUAAUCAGUCUGUGAUUUCUUAACUUUCAGGCCAAAAUUUAUAUAUAUAUUUAACUGUUUUUUAAUAUUAGUAUUCUAUGUUUUUAUCUUGGCUGUACACCGCCCUGAGUCCUCAGGGAGAAGGGCGGUAUA